rnacentral:rRNA from 1 species
GUGUCAGCAGCCGCGGUAAUACGUAGGGUGCGAGCGUUAAUCGGAAUUACUGGGCGUAAAGUGUGCGCAGGCGGCACCGCAAGUCGAGUGUGAAAGCCCCGGGCUUAACUUGGGAAUUGCGCUCGAAACUAUGGUGCUGGAGUGUGGCAGAGGAAGGUGGAAUUCCAGGUGUAGCGGUGAAAUGCGUAGAGAUCUGGAGGAACACCGAUGGCGAAGGCAGCCUUCUGGGCCAACACUGACGCUCAUGCACGAAAGCGUGGGGAGCAAACAGGAUUAGAAACCCGUGUAGUCC